rfam:Aureobasidium namibiae CBS 147.97 unplaced genomic scaffold scaffold_9, whole genome shotgun sequence.
GCCGGGGUAGCUCAAUCGGUAGAGCGUGUGGCUCUUAUCAUUCUCUGAUAUUCCAAACCUCAAGGUCGUGGGUUCGAGCCCCACCUUCGGCU